AUGCAAGAUUAUUUUUCGAAGAAUCCUACAUAUCCUGCACACCUCUUCCGCAGAAGGUACCGAAUGCGCCGAUCCCUUUUUGUGAAAAUUGCCGAAGCUUGCGAGGCAAAUUGCCGGUAUUUCACUCAGAGAAGGAAUGCCGCGGGCUUAAAGGGAUUUAGUGCAUAUCAAAAAAUCUCCGCAGCUAUGCGGGUGAUUGCAUAUGGCGUUCCGACUGACUAUGCCGAUGAGUAUCUUCGCAUUGGUGAAGAUAGCACAAUUGAGUCUGUGCGUAGAUUUGUGAAAGUGAUCGUCCGUGUCUUUGGUCCCGAGUAUCUUCGGGCACCAAAUGAAGAUGACACAAAGAAAUUGAUGGCAGCUAAUGAGAGGAGAGGUUGGCCUGGGAUGCUAGGUAGCAUUGAUUGUAUGCAUUGGAAUUGG
rnacentral:rRNA from 1 species